rnacentral:piRNA from 1 species
UGGUAAAUAAAGUUGCUGGCGGCCAAUA